rnacentral:lncRNA from 1 species
CAGUCUUUCUAUUGAAUCACUCCGACACUAGCACAUCAGCUUCAGUUGUUUUCUGGAAUUUGGUUCGUAUAGGCCCAUGGCUCUCUAUUCAUCUACACAUCAAAUGUGGAUGGAUUCAAUGAAUCUACUGCCAUCUAUAUGUAUUCAAGAAAAAAUUCGAUGUGAAUGUGCAUUAACAACGACCAAAACCUUUGGUAUCACAAAAAAUUUCGAACCUAAGAUCCCUAGAAAUUCGAAAACAGAAAACAUUUGGAACUCAAAUUUUUUUUUUUUUAGUCAAUGAAAGCAAUGUAUUAGAUGGUCCAAAAGUACAACCUAAUACAACACUAACAAGAGGUACAAAAGACCCCAGCAGAAAAGACACAUUGGUCCCAGUAUAAAGAGGCACAUAGGCCCAACAAUAGAGCCACUUAGACCAAACAUAAACAAAAUAAAGCCCAUAAAGAGCUUAGCCACAACACAACACAGGAGCCCAAAACUAAAAGUAAGAAACCCUAAAUCUGACAGCCUCCAUCGCUUCAACAUCAGCCGCACAGAGCUACUGCCGCUACAUUCCAGUCCCCAUUUGACGCCAGUCCGCCGUUUAAGCACCAAAACAAACCACUUUCUCACCGGUUGAGAACACUGGGCACAAAGCCCCCAAGAGAAACCAAGUAACCAUAGAAGGAGUGAAUACCAAGGUAAUCGAAACACCUUCUUUCAGUUGAACAAAAGUUCGCCGACGGACGAAAAUUUGCUUAAUGGUAGAGAAACUAGCAGAUCUGAAUGCUAAAGGGGAAGAAGACAUCAUAUGAGAAGCAACAAUAGUGGAACCAGAAGAUCUAGUGAUAUGAUGGAAGAUAUGUGAAGUCGAGAUUGGAAUUGGGUAAUGGUGAAGAAGUGAGGAGAUGGAGAGACGAUGAGAACGACAUGGAUCUGAGUUCAAACCGUCAUGGGAAGGCUCAGUAAGGCAGGAAAGUAAGGUAGGAAAGUAAGGUGGGUAGAUGGGGAAAAUGGAUGAGGUAGAGGAAAAGGGAAGAUGAAGAGAAGGAUUGAAGGAAAGGGCAAAUCUAGUAUGGGAAAAGGCUAGGUGGACAUGGGGAGGUGGAGGAGAUAGUGGUGGAGGUGGGGAUGGAGGAGACGGCUGGGCUCGUGAGACUCUCAAAAUGGUGAUGGGUUGAGAAAACUUCUAGAGAGAAGGUAGACCCUCUCUCUCUAGAAAUUUUCUGUCUUGGCGUAUAACUGAAAUGGAUUUUGAACUCAAAUUCGAUUCACAAAAAUCAUCCCUUAAACCCAGAAACUCAAAUUCGAUAUCACAAAUCAUACCUUAACUACUUUGAGGUGAGGUAUAUGACAUGCCAAGGGACCGCCUUAACCCUCUUAAACUUCGUAGCGACCAUCUAGACCCACUUAGGGGCCGCCAAGACCCGCUAAGGGUUACCGAGACACGUCUAGGCCCGCCAAGGGGCUACAGAGAAAAACUUAGAGCCGCCAAGGGGGCGCCUUGACCCGCUAAAGGGCUGCCUUAACCCGCCUUGAUCCGCCUUGGGCCGUCUUAACCCGCCUUCGACCGCCUUGACCCUCCUAGGGCCGCUAACCCUCCUAGGGCCGCUAAGAAGCCGCCUUAACUCAUCUAGGGCCACCAAGAGGCUGCCUUAACCCAUCUAGACCUUCCUAGGGCCACCUUAACCUACCUAGACCCGCCAUGGGGCUGCCUUGACUUGCCUAGGGCCGCCUUGACUCGCCUUGGCUUGCAUUGGGCUGCCUUGACCUGUCUUGGGCCGCAUUUACAUGCCUUGACCCUCCUAGGGUCGCCAAGAAGCCGCCUUAACCAUCUAGGGCCACCAAGGGCCGCCUUGACCCAGCUAGGGCAAGCCGAGUUGAUCCGUCUAAGGCGGCCUUAACUCGCUAAGGGGCUGCCUUGACCCUCCUAGACCCUCUUAGGGCCGCUUUCCGCCUUGACCCGCUAAAGGGCUGUCUUAACCCUCCUAAACCCACCUAGGGCCGCCUUGACCCUCCUAGGCCCGCCUAAGGCCACCAAGGGGGAGCCUUGACCCACCUAAAGCUGUUAGACCUGCCUAGACCUACUUAGAACCCACGUAAGGCCGCCUAAACCCGCUUAGGUUUAGCCUAGACCCGCUUAGGUUUAGCCUAGACCCGUCAAUGGGCUGUCGAGACCCACCUAGGGCCGCUAGAGGGCCGCCUUGACCGGCUGAGGGCCGCUAAGAGGCCGCUUUGACCCGCCUUGAUUUGCAUAAGGACCACCUUGACAUGCCAAUGGACCGCUUUGACAUGCCAAGGGGCCGCUUUGACCCGCCUUGGCAUGCCAAGAGACCACCUUGGCCCUCUUAGACCCACAUAUAGACCACCUAGAACCGUUUAGGAACCGCCUAGACCCUCUUAGGGACCACCUAGACCUGCUUAGAGGCCGCCUAUGGCCGCCAAAGGGGCGCCAUGACCUACUUAGAGUCGUCAAGACCUACCUAGACCUGCUUAGAACCCGCGUAGGGACCGCCUAGACCCUCUUAGGUUUAGCCUAGACUAGUCAUGGGGCUGCCGAGACCCGCCAAGUGCCGCUUUGACAUGCCAAUGGGGUCGCUUUGACACGCCUUGACCUGCCAAGGGACCGCCUUGACCCACCUUGACAAGCCAAGGGGCAUCUUUGACCCGCCUUGACAUGCCAAAGGGCCGCUCUGACCAGCCUUGACAUGCCAAGGGAUAGCUUUGGCCCUCCUAAACCCGUAUGGGGGUUGCCUAGACCCAUUAAGGGGCAGCCGAGACAAACUUAGAGCCGCUACUGGGGCGCCUUGACCCGUUAAGGGUCUACAUAGACAAACUUAGAGCCGCCAAGGGACUGCCUUGACCUUCCUAGACCUUCGUAGCGAUCAUCUAGACCUGCUUAGGAGCCGCCUAGACCAGCUAAGGGCUGCCGAGACACGUCUAGGCCCGCCAAGGGGCUACCGAGAAAAACUUGACCCUACUAGGGCCACCAAGGGGCUGCUUUAUAAAACAAAGUUGUCAUGAAUCUUUUAGGCUCGAUUGCGAAUACAAUAAUAAAGGCCAAGAGCUUUUGAUGCUAUAAUUGUUCAAUUGAUGUUAGGUGAAACAUAUAAUGUCACAUCCCGACCCUUAUAUUUUUACCUUAUUUACUAGCCUGAUUAUAAUAAGAAUUUUACCGUCUCGAUCAUUGAGUAAAUAGUUUAAUUGGUCCCUAGAGGGGUUUCGGGGACGAUUAUGUGCGGAGGAUUAUUCGUAUGAGGAAAAUACGACGACGGUAAAAAUGGUAAAUUUUAGCUAGUAAAAAGUAAUUUUUAUUCGGGUAUUAUUUUUCGGGGUGUUUAAUUUUAGAAUUGGAUAGUUUAUAAGUGAUGGACCGGUUUGGGGUGUGAGGCCCAAACCCAUUCUCUUUUCCUCCCGAUUUUCUCUCCUCACCCGCUCCCGCACCCGAGCCCUCCCGCUGUCCCGUUUUCCGACCGCCAGACCGCCGCCGUCCGGCCGCCCCAGACCGCUGCACCGGUCCCAAUCGAUCGGUCUUCAACCCAGCAACCUUCUUGGACCGGUGACAGCUUCCCUAGCGCCCCCGUGAGGGAGAUAUCGGGCCCGAGAGGUCCGACUGUGUUAGGGUUCACGUCGCCGGAACUUCCUCCUCUGGCCACCAAUCCGGGCAAGCUUGGUACGGUUUUGUAGCCCUCCAACCCAGCAGCCUUGCCCUAAAAGGACUCACUCCCUCUUGAGCUAGGUAAGGAGAAAUUUGAGGUGGAAGUUUUAUGGCGUUUUUGAUGUUUUUAGUUGAUUACCCUAGUUAGGCUUGGAAUUGGUGUUUGUGCUAGUUAGGAAAGUUGUAGAGCUUGAUGAGAUGAUUAUUCUGUCAAAAUUUCAUAGGUUUUGGAGGUCGCCGGAAUUGGCCUCCGGCCGCCGCUGCCGGCGGAGCCGCCGCCGGUUAGGAGAUUUUUAGGGUUUUAAAUGUGGAAUAUUAAGAGGAGUAUUUUGAUGUGAUUUAUGGAAUUUUUGGAUGAGAUUUGGAUAGGUUUGUGAAUUUCCGAAGUUUGGUAUAUUUGGCGGUUAAUUAAUGUAGAAUCCGGCCGUAAGAUUUAAGUCAUAUUUUGGAGAGGUUGAGUAUGAUAUUUAAAUUCGGAUCGUUCCGAUUUAAGAAUAUCGAAGUUAGGCAAUGAUGAGCGUAUUUAUGGCUCUUGGGUAAUUUUGCCUAUUUUGAUUAAAUAUUGGAUUAUUGGUUGGGAAUUUAAUAUUAUAUUUGGAACAGGACGUGAGGAGGCUCGAGCAGACGAGACCCCAGAUCGACAGCAGGCUUAGGCCUAAUUUGUGAGUGAACGUUUAUUUUAAAUAAAUGCAUGCUAUAGUUCACGGUUGAAUAAUUAAUGUCGUGGAGUAUUUUGACGUCAUUUUAAUUUUUGACGAUUUUUUAUUUCUCUUGGAGAGAUACCGAAAAUGGGAUUUUCGGUGGAUAUAAAUAUGUAUUUAUGAGAGUAUGUAUAGAAAAUGCUAGCUAGCCAUAUGUGUCUGUCCACCUUAAUGGCGUAGCAUAUAGCCGCAUUAUGGUGUGACGUUAGCGUUGGACGUAAGCGUAGUAGCCCUAUUUGAGUGUUUAAUUCAUAUAGGGGGUAUGGACACAUAUUUAUACACCCGUCUGUCCACCUUGAUGGCGUGGUGUAGCACCGCAUUAAGGCGUGACGUGAGCGUUGGACGCGAGCGUAGUAGCCCUAUAUAGACCCAUGAAUUUAUAUAGAGAGUAUGGACGAGUGUAAAUACAUACAUAUAUUAUAGAGUCUGAGAGGCUCGAUAUUUUAUGGGAUAAAAGUUUUAUCGCUUGCGGCAUGCAUUCGAUUUUUCCUUAGAAAUUAAUUUGGGGAAACAUAAAUAUUUUUAUUUAUUAUUUUAUUUUGUCCACUCACUCUAACGUUAUUAAAUGUUUUCCCCUGGGCCUUUCGUUUUAAAUUGCCCAGUCUGCAGAGUUCGGGUUGGAUCUAGUAGGAGACGAGGCAUAGUCACCCACAUUUCUGCCAGUUUUCGUCAGUAGGUUACCUGUUCAACCUACUCGUGUCUUCUUGCUUCCGCUUGUGUUUAGUAGCUCUGAAUACUUUGGGAUUAUUGUAUAUUAUGUGUAGAAUUUCUGAAGGAUAAUUAUGUGCGGUUUGGAAGUGUUGAAUUAAGAGUGUAAUAUGAAAUUUUCGAGUUAGGGUUGUCCAUCUGCAAGGGAGAUUUUCUUAAUCUUUUCAGUAAAUUUUCCUUGGAGGUGGUCCCCGCACGACUUACUCCGGAUUUCAGGGUGAAAUUCGGGGUGGGUCGUGUCAUAUAAGCACACAUGAAUGGAAAAAACCCAUAAGUUCAGAAAAAGUGAAAUUUCUCAAAAACUCGUGUGCUAUAACAAGGGGUUUUGGCUGAAAUUUGGUGAAACUUGAAAAGAUGGGUAACACAUAAGCUUUUUCAAAAUUUAGGUUCUCGAGGUCAGUAUGAGAAGAAUUGAAGACUCAAAAAGAUGGGUAAGAUGGGUAACACGUAAGCUUUUUCAAAAUUUAGGUUCCCGAGGUCAGUAUGAGAAGAAUUGAAGACUCAAAAAGCAUGGCGAUUCAUUUAGUUCCACUGAAAGUAACAGUUCCAAUACUUUUACCAAACAAACAGUAACAGUUCCAAUACUUUUACCAAACAAAGUUGUCAUGAGUCAUUUAGGCUCGAUUGUGAGUAAAAUGAUAAAGGCCAUGAGCUUUUGAUGCUAUAAUGGUUCAAUGGAUGUUAGAUGAUGUAUAUAAGCACACACGAAUGGAAAAAAACCAGUAGAGCCGCCAAGGGGCCACCUUGACCCGCCGAGGAUCGCCAAGGGGCCGCUUUACCAAACAAAGUUGUCAUGAAUUUUUUAGGCUCGAUUGCGAGUACAAUAAUAAAGGGCAAGAGCUUUUGAUGCUAUAAUUGUUCAAUUGAUGUUAGGUGAAGCGUAUAAGCACACAAAAAUGGAAAAAAACCAGGCGUUCAGAAAAAAUGAAAUUUCUCAAAAACUCGUGUGCUAUAACAAAGGGUUUUGGCCGAAUUUGGUGAAACUUGAAAAGAUGGGUAACAUGUAUGCUUGUUCAAAAUUUAGAUUCCCGAGGUCAGUAUGAGAGGAAUUGAAGACUACACAAGCAUGGCGAUUCACUUUGUUCCACUAAAACUGAAAGUAACAGUUCCAACACCUUUACCAAACAAAGUUGUCAUGAGUCAUUUAGGCUCGAUUGCGAGGAAAAUGAUAAGGGGCGGCCUAGACCCGCUUAGGGCCGCCUUGACCCUCCUAUGCCCACCUUGGGCUGCCUUGACCCGCCUUGACCCUCCUAGGCCCGCCUUGAACCCCUAGACCCGGCUAGGGCCGCCUUGACCCCCCUAGGGCUGCCUUGACCUUUCCUAGGGUCACCAUGACUCUCCUAUACCCGCCUUAGCCCGCCUUGACCUGCCUAGGGCCGCCUUGACCCUCCUAUGGCCGCCUUAACCCGCCUUGACCCGCCUUAACCUACCUUGGCAUGCCUUGAUCCGCCAUGGGCUGCCUUGACCCGUCUUGGCCCCCUAGACCCGGCUAAGGCCGCUUUAACCCGCUAAGGAGCUGUCUUAACCCUCCUAGACCCGCCUUAACCCUCCUAGGCCCACCAAGGGGCCGCCUUGACCUGCUAAAGGGCUGCCUUGACCCUCCUAGACCCUCCUUGGGCCGCCUUGACCCUCUUAUGGCACGCCUUGAUCCGCCUUGGGCUGCCUUGACUCGCCUUGACCAGCUUUGGUCUGCAUUGGGCAGUUUGACCCUCCUAGGGCCACCAAGGGGCCACCUUGACCUUCCUUCGCCUAUCUUGAGCCACCUUACCCCGCAUUGGCUUGCUUUGGGCUGCCUUUACUCGCCUUGGCCCCCUUGGGCCGCCUUGACCCGUCUAAGGUCGUCUUGACAUGCCUUGGCCAUUCUUGAUCCGCCUUGGGCUGCCUUGACCCGCCUUGAUCCUCCUAAGGCCGCGAAGAGCUGCCUUAACCCAUCUAGGGCCACCAAUGUUUUUGCAUUCGCCCGGCAAAGGGCUGUCUUGACCCUCCUACACCCGCCUAGGGCUGCCUUGACCCUCUUAGGCUCGGCUAUGUCCGCCAAGGGGCCGCCUAGACUUGUUAAGGGGAUGCCUCGACCCUUCUAGACCUUCCUAGGGCUGCCUUGAUCUCCCUAGACCUGCGUUGACCCUCCGUGACCCUUUUAGGGCCGGCUUAACCUAUCUAGGGCCACCAAGGGGCCGCCUUAACCAGCGUAGGGCCGCAUUGACCAGCCAAGGGUCGCUAAGCGGCCGCCUUGAUCUGCCUAAGGCUACUACGGGGUAGCCUUGGCCCUCCUAGGCCCACCAAGGGCUGCCUUGACCUGCUAAGAAGCCGCCAUAGCCCGCCUGAACCCGCCUUAGGCCGCCUUAACCCACCUUGACCGGCCUUGGCACGCCUUGAUCUGCCUUGGGCUGCCUUGACCGUCCUAAACCCUCUUAGGGCCGCCUUGACCAGCCUAGGCCGCUAAGGGGCCACCUUGACCCUCUAAGUGGCUGCCUUCACCAGUCUAAGGCUGCUUUAACCUGCUAAGGGGCUGUCUUAACCCUCCUAGGGCCGCCAUGACCCUUCUAGGUCCGCCUAGGGCCACCAAGGGGCCGCCUUGACCUGUUAAGGAGCCGCCUUGGGCCUUCUUAGCCCGUCAAGGGCCACCUUGACCCGCCUUGGCACGUCUUGAUCCACCUUGGUCCGGCAUGACCCUCAUAGGCCUGCAUUGACCCCUAGACCCGGCUACCUUAACACUCUAAGGGGCUGCCUUCACCCAUCAAAGGCCAUUUUGACUUGCUAAGGGGCAGCCUUAACCCACCUAGAUCCGCUAAGGGGCUGCCUUCACUCUCCUAGGUGCGCCUUAACCCGCCUUGACCCGCUUUCGGCCGCUUUAGCCCGCCUUAACCCGUCUAGGGCCACCUGACCCGCCUUGGACCGUCUUAAACCGUCUAGGAACGCCUUGAUCCGUCUUGGGCUGCCUUGACCCGCCUUAACCCUCCUAGGCCCGCCUUGACACCCUAGACCCGACUAGGGCCGCCUUGACCCCUCUUGGGCUACCUUGACCCGCUAAGGGGCUGCCUUCACUCGUCUAAGGCUGCUUGACCUGCUAAGGGGCUGCCUUAACCCUUGUAGACCCGCCUAGGGCUGCCUUGACCCUCCUAGACCCACCAAGGGGCCACCUUGACCCGCUAAAGGGAUGCCUUGACCCUGACCUUGACCUGCAUAGGGCGGCUAAGCGGCCGCCUUGACUCGCCAAGGGGCCGCCUUGACUCGCUAAGGGGCCGGCUUGACCUUCCUAGACCCUCCUAGGGAAGCCAUGACCUGCCUAGGGCGGUUAAACGGCCGCCUUGACCCGCCUAGGGCCACCAAGGGGCCGCCUUGACGAGCUAAGGGGCUGCCUUCACCCUCCUAGACCCGCCUUGGGCCACUAAGGGGCGGCCUUGACCCGUCUAGGGCCGCCUUGACCUGCUACGAGGUUGCCUUCACCCGACUAUGGCCGCCCUGACCCUCUUUGACCCGCCUUGAUCCGCCUUGGGCUACCUUGACCCGCCAUGGCCCACCUUCACCCUCCUAGGCCCUCUAAACCCAGUUAAAAGGCUGCCUUGACUAACCUAGGCCGCUAUGCGGCCGCUAAAGAGCCGCCUUGACCCUCUAAGGGGCUGUCUUCACCAGUUUAAUGCGGCCUUGACCUACUAAGGGGCUGCCUUAAUCCUCCUAGACCUGCCUAGGGCCGCCUUAACCCUCCUAGGACCCCUAGGGCCACCAAGGGGCCGCCUUGACCUGCUAAGAAGCCGCCUUGACCAGCCUUGGGCCGCCUUGACUUGCCUUGGGCCGCCUUAACCCAUCUAGGGCCGCCUUGACCCACUAUGGCCCGUCUUGAUCCGCCUUGGGGAGCCUUGACUCGCUUUGGCUCGGCUUGACCCUCUUAGGCCCGCAUUGACCCCCCAGACCCGGCUAGGACCGCCUUGACCCCCCUUGGGCUGUCUUAACACGCUAAGGGGCUACCUUCACCCGUCUAAGGCUGCUUUGACCCGCUAAGGGCUGCCUUAACCGACCUAGAUCCGUAAAGGGGUUGUCUUCACCCUCCUAGGCCCGCCUAGGGUCACCAAGGGGCCGCCUAAACCUUCUAAGGUGCCGCUUUUACCUGCUUUGGGCUGCCUUGACCCGCCUUAAACCGUUUAGGCACGCCUUGAUCCAUCUUGGGCUGCCUUAACCCGCCUUGACCUGCUAAGGGGCUGCCUUAACCCUCCUAGACCUGCCUAGGGCCGCCUUGACCUUUUUAGGCCCACCAAAGGGCCGUCGUGACCCGCAAAAGGGUUGCCUUGACCCUCUACGGGGCCGCCUUGACCUUCCUAGACCCUCUUAGGGACGCCAUGACCUGCCUAGGGCGGUUAAGCGGCCGCCUUGACCUGGCUAGGGCCACCAAGGGGCCGCCUUGACGAGUUAAGGGGUUGCCUUCACCCUCCUAGACCCGCCUUGGGCCACUAAGGGGCCGCCUUGACCCGCAUUGGGCCGCCUUAACCCGCUACGAGGUUGCCUUCACCCGACUAGGGCCGCCUUGACCCUCUUUGACCCGCCCUGAUCCGCCUAGGGCUGCCUUAACCCGCCAUAGCCCACCUUCACCCUCCUAGGCCCACCUUGGCCCCCUAAACCCAGCUAAAGGGCUGCUUUGACCCUCUUAGGGCCGCCUUGACAAGCUUAGGCCGCUAUGCGGCCGCCAAAGAGCCUCCUUGACCCUCUAAGGGGCUGCCUUCACUAGUUUAAGGCGGCCUUGACCUGCUAAGGGGCUGCUUUAAUCCUCCUAGACCUGCCUAGGGCCGCCUUGACCCUCCUAGGACCCCUAGGGCCACCAAGAGGCCGCCUUGACCUGCUAAGGAGCCGCCUUGACCAGCCUUGGGCCGCCUUAACCUGCUUUGGGCCGCCUUAACCCGUCUAGGGCCCGUCUUGAUCUGCCUUGGGCUGCCUUGACCCGCCUUGGCUCGACUUGACCCUCCUAGGGACGCAUUGACCCCUAAACCCGGCUAGGGACGCCUUCACCCCCCUUGGGCUGCCUUAACACGCUAAGGGGCUGCCUUCACCCGUUUAAGGCCGCUUUGACCCGUAAAGGGGCUGCCUUCACCCUCCUAGGCCCACCUAGGGUCACCAAGGGGCCGCCUAAACCUUCUAAGUUGCCGCUUUUACUGCUUUGGGCUGCCUUGACCCGCCUUAAACCGUUUAGGCACGCCUUGAUCCGUCUUGGGCUGCCUUGACCCGCCUUAACCCUCUUAGGUCCACCUUGACCCCCUGGACCCGGUGAGGGCCGUCUUAACCCUCCUAGACCUGCCUAGGGCCGCAUUGACCUUCUUAGGUCCACCAAAGGGUCGUCGUGAUCCGCAGCAAAGGGGUUGCCUUGACCCUCUUAGACCCUCCUAAGGCCGCCUUGAUCUGCCCAGGGCGGCUAAACGGCCGCCUUGACCCUCUAAGGGACUGUCUUCACCCUCCUAGACCCUCCUAGGCCCGCUUAGGGCCACAAAGGGGCCACCUUGACCCGCUUUGGGCUGUCUUAGCCCGCCUUGACCCGCCUUGGGCUGUCUUGGCCCGCCAUGGAUCGCCCUGACCCGACUAGUGCAGCCUUGACCCGCUAAGGGGUUGCCUUCACCAGUCUAAGGCCGCAUUGACCCUUCUAGGCCCGCCUAGGGCCACAAAGGGGCCGCCUUGACUUGCUAAGGGGCCGCCUUGACCCGCCUUGGGCUGCCAUAGGUCGCCUUGACCCUGCCUUGACCCACCUUGACCUGGUUUGGCACGUUUUGCUCCGCCAUAGGCUGCCUUGACCCGCCUUGACCAGCCUUAGCCUGUAUUAGGCCGCUUUGACCCUCCUAGGCCCGCCUGGGCCCACCAAGGGGCCGCCUUGACCCGUUUUCGCCCACCUUGGGCCGCCUUGACCCGUCUAAGGCCGCCUUGACAUGCUUUGGGCUGCCUUGACCCGCUUUGAGUCACCUUGACCCGUUUAGGGCUGCCUUGACCCGCCUUGACCCUCCUAAGGCCGCUAAGAGCUGCCUUAACCCAUAUAGGGCAGCCAAUGUUCUUGUGUUCACCCGUCUAAGGCCGCCAAGGGUCAGCUUGACCCGGCAAAGGGCUACCUUGACAUUCCUAGACCCGCCCAGCGAUGCCUUGACCUUCCUAGGCCCGCCUAGACCUAUGAAGGGGAUGCCUUGACCAUCCUAGACCAUCCUAGGGCCGCCUUGACCUGCCUAGACCUGCUUAGGGGUCAACUUGACCUGCCUAGGGCCGCCUUCACCCGCCUUGUCCCCCCUUGACCCGCUUUAACCGUCCUAGGGCCGACUUAACCCAUCUAGGUUCACUAAGGGGCCAACUUGACCCGCCUAGGGUCGUCAAUGGGCCACCUUAGCCCUCCUAGGCUCUCCUAGGGCCACCAAGGGGCCGCCUGGACCUGCUAGGGAGCCGCCUUGACCCGCCUUGGGCUGUUUUAUCCCGUAUUGGGCCGCCUUAACCUGCCUUGGGCCGCCUUAACCCAUCUAGGGCCGCCUUAACUCGUACAGGGCCGCCUUAACCCGCUUUGGCAUGCCUUGACCCUCCUAAGCCCGCAUUGACCCCCUAGACCCGACUAGGGCCGCCUUGACCCGCUUUGGCUCGCCUUGAUUCACCUUGGGCUGCCUUGACCAGUCUUAGGCCGUCUUGACCUGCCUAGGGCCGCCUUGACCCUCCUAGGGCCGCCUUAACCCAUCUAGGUCCGCCUAGGGGCCGUAUUCACCCAUGUUGACCUGCCUUGUUCCGCCUUAGGUUACCUUGACCCGCCUUAGCCCGUUUAGGGCCGCCUUGACCCGCCUUGACCCUCCUAAGACCGCCUUAACCCAUCGAGGGCCGCAUUCACCUGUCUAAGGCCGCUAAGGGGUUGCCUUCACCAGUCUAAGGCAGCCAAGGGGCCGCCUUCACCCGCUAAGGGCAGCCUUGACCCUCCUAGACCCACCUAAGGCCACCUUCACCCUCCUAGGCCCUCCUAGCCCGCCUAGGGCCACCAAGGGGCCGCCUUGACCAUCAUAGGGCUGCCAAGAGACCACCUUAACCCACCUAGGACCACCAAGAGGCCGCCUUAACCAAUCUAGGGCUGCCAAGGGGCCAUGUUCACCCGUCUUAGGCCACCAAGGGGCCGCCUUGACCCUCCUCAAGCCGCCUUAACCCAUCUAGGUCUACUAAGAGGCCGCCUUGACCCGCCUUGAUGCGCCUUGGGCUGCCUUGACCUACCUUAGCCCGUUUUGGGCCCCCUUGACCUGCCUUAACCCACCAAGGGCCACGAGCUUUUGAUGAUGUAAUGGUUCAAUUGAUGUUAGGUGAUGUGUAUAAGCACAAAUGAACGGAAAAAAAACCAAAUGUUUAGAAAAAGUGAAAUUUCUCAAAAACUCGUGUGCUAUAUAACAAGGGUUUUUGGCCGAAAUUUGGUGAAACCUAAAAAGAUGGGUAACACAUAAGCGUUUUCAAAAUUUAGUUUCCCGAGGUCAGUAUGAGAAGAAUUGAAGACUCCACAAGCAUAACGAUUCACUUUUUUCCCCUGAAAGUAACAGUUCCAACACUUUUACCAAAUAAAGUUGUCAUGAGUCAUUUAGGCUCGAUUGCGAGUAAAAUGAUAAAAGCCACGAGGUUUUGAUACUAUAAUGGUUCAAUUGAUGUUAGGUGAUGUGUAUAAGCACACAUGGAUGGAAAAAAACCAGACGUUCAGAAAAAGUGAAAUUUCUCAAAAACUCGUGUGCUAUAACAAUGAGUUUCAGCCGAAAUUUGGUGAAACUUGAAAAGAUGGGUAACAUGUAAGCUUUUUCAAAAUUUAGGUUCUCGAGGUCAGUAUGAGAACCCACGUAUGGACCACCAAGACCUGCUUAGGGGGAGUCUAGAAUCGUUAAGGGGCUUCCGAGACCCACCUAGAGCCGUAAAUAGGCCGCCUUAACCCAUCGAGGGCCGCCUUUAACCCGCGUUGACCUGCCAGGGGACCGCCUUGACCGCUGUAACAUGCUAUGGGGCUACUUUGCCCCGCCUUGACCCACCUUGACAAGCCAAGGGACCGCUUUAACCCACCUUGACAUAGCAAGGGACUGCCUUGGCUCUCCUAAACCCACGUAGGGACCACCUAGACCUACUUAGGGACCGCUUACACCCGCUUUGCUUAGAGGCCGCCAAGGACCGCCACGGGGGUGCCUUGACCCACCUAGGGCCAUAAAGACCUACCUAGACCUACUUAGAACCUGAGUAGGGAUCGUUUAGACCCGCUAAGAGGCUACCGAGACCCCUCUAGGGCCGCUAAUAGACAAUAAAAGGCCGCUUUAACCCGCCUUCGCCCCUCUAGUCCCGCUUAGGGACCGCCUAUACCCAUUUAAGGACCACUUAGACCUGCUUAGAGGCCCCUUAGGGCCGCUAAGAGGCUGCCGAGACCUACUUAGGGCCGCCAAGGGGUGCCUUAACCCGCCUAGGGCAGUCAAGACCUGCUUAGCACCCAUGUAGGGACUGCCUAGGGGCUGUUUAGGGCCGCAUGGGGCUGCCUUGACAACCAGGUCCGCCUUGGCCCGUCAUGACCCUCCUGGGGCCUCCAAGUGCCCGCCUUUACCUAACUAGGGCCGCCAAGGGGCCGCGUUCACCCGUUUAAGGCCGUCAAGGAGCCGUCUUGACCCGCUAAGGGGCUGCCUUCACCCGUCUAAGGUUGCCAAGGGUCCGCCUUGACCCGUUAAGGGGCUGGAAUGGGCUGCCUUGAGCUACCUUGACACUCCUUGGCCCGCCUUGAUCCUCCUUGAGCUGCCUUGAGCUGUCUUGACCCGUCUAGGUCCACUAAGAGGCCGCCUUAACCCAUCUAGGGCCGCCAAGGGGCCGUGUUCACCCGUCCAAGGCCACCAAAGGGGCGUUCACCCGUCCAAGGCCGCCUUGAGCCGCCUUGCCCUGACUUGACCCUCUUAAGGACGCCAAGAGGCCGCCUUAACCCAUAUAGGAUCACCAAGGGGCCGCAUUGACCUAGCUAGGGGCAGCCAAGGGGCCGCCUUGACCCGUCUUGGCUCGACUUGACCCGCCUUGACCCUCCUAGGGCCACCAAGAGGCCGCCUUAACCCAUUUAGGGCCACCAAGGGGCCACCUUGAUCUGGCUAGGGCCGCCAAGGGGUCGUGUUCACCCGGCUUGAUGAUAUGCUCAUAUUAUUCUAUAUUUAUAUGUUUCCUAAUCUUUGUUUUUGCAUUUAGUUUCCUUAUUUGUGAUUGAUUUACGUUAUUUUAGUGUUCUUGUAGGUUUGUGCCAUAGAGAGAAGAAAAUGAGCUAAAAUGCGCAAAUAAGGAUUGAAAGGCAACUGCAAUCCCAAGUGCUAGAAUCCGCCUCUGCAGAACAACCAACUUUGCCGAAUUACAGGGAAUUACUCGGAUUGAAUCAGACUAUGAGCCUUAUAUCAUUGGAAAGCUACAGAAGUCUACUUUAUGUAGAAUUUUACGGAUCUCGAUUUCGAUACUUAUGGAGUGAGUUAUGAGCAUUUGAAUGAAGAAAGGUCAGAUCUGCAAAUCUGCUCGGGAAAUUACAAGCUUUUGAGGAGAACUCAAGUUCCGUGGCAUAAGACCGUCAACCCUAAAGUUUCAAGGACAAUAUAGCAAAUGAGAAUUCAAGAAGUACAUGUAUUCCUAGU